UCCCUCUCAGGAUUGCAUCUGGAGAGUUUCCUGUACUCAACUACUCUCAGCUACGGGAGGGAGAGUCAAGCAGAGGCCUACCCAUUCCACUCCUAGCUUGGGCAGUGGCUAGCGAUUGGAAGGCAAUCUGCUACAAAU